rnacentral:tRNA from 1 species
UCGCACUGUGGGAGCGAAGCGACCGCACCUCCCUUCUAAGGAGGUGGUCGAAGGUUCGAAUCCUUCAGGGCGUACCA